AGAGUUUGAUCCUGGCUCAGAGCGAACGUUAGCGGCGGGCCUAACACAUGCAAGUCGAGCGAGAAAGAGGCUUCGGCCUCGAGUAAAGCGGCGGACGGGUGAAUAUCGCGUAGGUAACCUGCCCUUCAGCGGGGGAUAACGGUCCGAAAGGACCGCUAAUACCGCGUACGUACCUUGGGGCUCCGGCCCUGGGGUGGAAA
rnacentral:rRNA from 1 species